GGGCAUUAGCUCAAUGGUAGAGCAACUGCUUUGGAUGCAGGAGGCCCCAGUUGCGUGUGUGGAAGGUACCA